GUAGUGAAGUAUGAAUAUGGGCCAUAUGCUACAUAGUAGCAUUGCAUUAAUGAUAAAUUAUUUGAGUGUGGUUUUGAAUAGUGAUUAUAUAAAAUUUCCUUUUUCUUAUAAGACACAGACCAAAGUGUUUAAGGGUGAAGUAUCAUCAUGUCUACACCAAACUCUCAAAUGGUACAGUAAAUUUUGUCUGUUUGCUUGUCUACACACACAUGGAAAGAGAAAGAAAAAAAGCAAAUUUGGCAUACUUUUAACAAAGGCAAGUCCAGCUGAAGAGUAUAUGAGUGCUCAUUGUACUGUUCUUGAAAGUUUGAAGUUUAAAAAACAUUCUUGAAAAAGUGCUAAUUUGGUGCAGUUGAGCAUCUUUUCAACAUGCUUAUUUGCUGUUUGGGUUCCUGGUGCUGUGAUCUGCCAACUUGAUAUCCUUUCUCCAUAUUUCUAUUGGGCAAUAUAUAUAUUUUUUAUAUUCACUGACAGUCAUACAGAAGUGACACUAAAAGCUUCAUGGAAAGCAGGUGGCCUUUUUCUUAUUAUUUCCAGCAAUUCCACUCUGGCCCCACACUAAAUACCACACUCAGCAAAAGCAAAUCCUGGAUUCCAUCAGGGCCACCCUUUUGAAAGGCAGCCUGGCAAAUACAAGUGUGCACUGCUUCCAGAGGGUGCAAUAUCAAUAUCAAAGUAUUUUUUCCAAUUGCAUACAGAACUCUUCCUAGGAAAAAUCUGAUGAAUAUCAUUUUCUACAUGUCAUUGUAUGUCCAGGGAAAUUUUAAUGCACCAAUACUAUUUCAGUAUCUAUUAUAAGCCGGCCUAUAGUUAGAACCUUAAUCCCAAUUUGGGUUACUAUAAUCAAAGUUUGUGUUAGGAAGCACAAAAAAUAGAAACAAGAAAAUAUGUGAACCAAGAAGGGGUGCCACAGGCUGACAAUUCCUGGUGAUCCUGCUGAGCUGCCUGGCUAAAGUAUUCAGUAUGCCAAGGUGCCAUAUUUGGGAGUAGCGUGUUCUGAGCCCCAUCACCAUAAAAGGAAAUUGUCUUCAUACCCUUUCCACAUCUCCACAGAAAUGGGGGAGUUUAAUUCAAGCCACUUUGGAGAGGAAGAAGAAGGAAGGAGGGGAGAGGAGAAGGAAAUA